GUCCUCUCAAGGUCGCACCUGGAGGGUUUCCAGUACCCUACCAGUCAUGACUGUGGGAGGGAGAGUUAAGAAAAGGCAUACCCAUUCCAUUCCUAGCUUGAGCAGUGGCUAGUGAGUGGAAGGCAAUCUGCUACAAGU